rnacentral:rRNA from 1 species
UACGGGGGGGGCAAGCGUUGUUCGGAAUUACUGGGCGUAAAGGGUUCGUAGGUGGCCUGCUAAGUCACACGUGAAAUCCCUCAGCUUAACUGGGGAACUGCGUGUGACACUGGCGAGCUUGAGUGCAGGAGAGGAACGCGGAAUUCCAGGUGUAGCGGUGAAAUGCGUAGAUAUCUGGAGGAACACCGGUGGCGAAGGCGGCGUUCUGGACUGCAACUGACACUGAGGUGCGAAAGCGUGGGGAGCAAACAGG